GGUGGCGUGCCGGUGCGCGUUGAAGGCCAAGACAUGAGUCAGGCUGGAGCCGCCGGUAGUGCAAAUGUGGGUGGUAGUAGGGGGUACUCUGGUGAACCAACCGGGAGCUGUGAGGUCUGGAUUAGGGUUCCAUGUCAACAGUGAUUGAACAUGGGUGAGUCGAACCUAAGCCAACUGUGAAAGCAGUGACAUCCCGACAAAGGGGCACAUACACCCCCAAACAAAGCUCUCGUAUUGCUCUCUCUCAAUCUGAGGAUAAGAUACAUAUGACACGGGGGAUGAGCGCACACACACACACACUCUCGAUGAUCACUUUUUAAAAAGUUUGUGAGGGAGUAAGUAGUGUGUGCAGAAAAUGGUCUGGUUACUAUGGUAUAAGAGCAAACACACAAUGAGCACUUUAUUAUAAGUGAGUGUGUUUGCAUAUCUCUCUGGUUACGCUCAUAAGCGUUGGCGCAAAAAGUGGAUAAACGAUAUAUACAUGUGGCACAAUAGAGAGAGAGAGAGAAACGGAGUGGGUGAGCGUGAGUGCACCCUGCGUUGGUUCUAUGUCCGGCGAAAGGGAAUGGGGACUUUGUUCCUUGACCGGUCCUGGCACCCUCGAUUGGCUUUGCCAAUUAAUGGUCCAUGCAAAUGGAACCAGCCCACAGCCGUUGGCAGUCGCCCGAGGAAGAGUUUUCUUUUCUGCUUAACGCACGAGGUCAUCCCUGGAAACAGUUCGGCUGGCGAAAGGGUGCCCCGCUGCGGCAGAGCGCCACGACUGUCGUGCGCGUCUCGGUGUUCCUGCUGAUCCGUGAAGACGUGGUCGAGGGGAAUGCUCUUGUAUCAACGAAACGCCUGACAAGUUCGGGACGGACCGUACCCUAUAUCCGCAUCUGGUCUCCAAGGUUUCUAGCCUCUGCAGAGUCAGUCACAUGUAGGUAAGGGAAGUCGGCAAACUCGAUCCGUAACUUCGGGAAAAGGAUUGGCUCUGAGGGCCGAGCUGGGCCGGGCCUUGCCUGCAAAGCAGUACCUAUAGUGACCGGAGUUGCAGGAGUGCGAGGGGCUCUAGUA
rnacentral:rRNA from 1 species